rnacentral:rRNA from 1 species
UCUUGGUCAUUUAGAGGAAGUAAAAGUCGUAACAAGGUCUCCGUUGGUGAACCAGCGGAGGGAUCAUUGCUGGAACGCGCCCCAGGCGCACCCAGAAACCCUUUGUGAACUUAUACCUUACUGUUGCCUCGGCGCAUGCCGGCCCCCAGGGGCCCCUCGGAGACGAGGAGCAGGCACGCCGGCGGCCAACCUAACUCUUGUUUUUACACUGAAACUCUGAGAAAAAAAACAAAAUGAAUCAAAACUUUCAACAACGGAUCUCUUGGUUCUGGCAUCGAUGAAGAACGCAGCGAAAUGCGAUAAGUAAUGUGAAUUGCAGAAUUCAGUGAAUCAUCGAAUCUUUGAACGCACAUUGCGCCCUCCGGUAUUCCGGAGGGCAUGCCUGUUCGAGCGUCAUUUCAACCCUCAAGCACUGCUUGGUGUUGGGGCACUGCUCCUCUCGCGGGGAGCAGGCCCUGAAAUUCAGUGGCGAGCUCGCCAGGACCCCGAGCGCAGUAGUUAAACCCUCGCUCUGGAAGGCCCUGGCGGUGCCCUGCCGUUAAACCCCCAACUCUUGAAAAUUUGACCUCGGAUCAGGUAGGAAUACCCGCUGAACUUAAGCAUAUCAAUAA